rnacentral:rRNA from 1 species
UCGGUCGUGAAAACUUGGGGCUUAACCCUGAGCUUGCGGUCGAUACGGGCAUGACUGGAGUUCGGCAGGGGAGACUGGAAUUCCUGGUGUAGCGGUGAAAUGCGCAGAUAUCAGGAGGAACACCGGUGGCGAAGGCGGGUCUCUGGGCCGAUACUGACGCUGAGGAGCGAAAGCGUGGGGAGCGAACAGGAUUAGAUACCCUGGUAGUCCACGCCGUAAACGGUGGGCGCUAGGUGUGGGGGCCAUUCCACGGUCUCUGUGCCGCAGCUAACGCAUUAAGCGCCCCGCCUGGGGAGUACGGCCGCAAGGCUAAAACUCAAAGGAAUCGACGGGGGCCCGCACAAGCGGCGGAGCAUGUGGAUUAAUUCGAUGCAACGCGAAGAACCUUACCUGGGUUUGACAUGCACCAGACGCGUCUAGAGAUAGGCGUUCCCUUGUGGUUGGUGUGCAGGUGGUGCAUGGCUGUCGUCAGCUCGUGUCGUGAGAUGUUGGGUUAAGUCCCGCAACGAGCGCAACCCUCGUUCCAUGUUGCCAGCGCGUUAUGGCGGGGACUCAUGGGAGACUGCCGGGGUCAACUCGGAGGAAGGUGGGGAUGACGUCAAGUCAUCAUGCCCCUUAUGUCCAGGGCUUCACACAUGCUACAAUGGCUCAUACAGAGGGCUGCGAGACCGUGAGGUGGAGCGAAUCCCUUAAAGUGGGUCUCAGUUCGGAUCGGGGUCUGCAACUCGACCCCGUGAAGUUGGAGUCGCUAGUAAUCGCAGAUCAGCAACGCUGCGGUGAAUACGUUCCCGG